rnacentral:rRNA from 1 species
GACGAACGCUGGCGGCGUGCUUAACACAUGCAGGUCGAACGGAAAGGCCCUGCUUUUGUGGGGUGCUCGAGUGGCGAACGGGUGAGUAACACGUGAGUAACCUGCCCUUGACUUUGGGAUAACUUCAGGAAACUGGGGCUAAUACCGGAUAGGAGCUCCUGCUGCAUGGUGGGGGUUGGAAAGUUUCGGCGGUUGGGGAUGGACUCGCGGCUUAUCAGCUUGUUGGUGGGGUAGUGGCUUACCAAGGCUUUGACGGGUAGCCGGCCUGAGAGGGUGACCGGCCACAAUGGGACUGAGAUACGGCCCAGACUCCUACGGGAGGCAGCAGUGGGGAAUAUUGCACAAUGGGCGGAAGCCUGAUGCAGCAACGCCGCGUGCGGGAUGACGGCCUUCGGGUUGUAAACCGCUUUCGCCUGUGACGAAGCGUGAGUGACGGUAAUGGGUAAAGAAGCACCGGCUAACUACGUG